rnacentral:rRNA from 1 species
GAUUGAACGCUGGCGGCAGGCCUAACACAUGCAAGUCGAACGGUAGCACAGAGAGCUUGCUCUCGGGUGACGAGUGGCGGACGGGUGAGUAAUGUCUGGGAAACUGCCCGAUGGAGGGGGAUAACUACUGGAAACGGUAGCUAAUACCGCAUAACGUCUUCGGACCAAAGUGGGGGACCUUCGGGCCUCACACCAUCGGAUGUGCCCAGAUGGGAUUAGCUAGUAGGUGGGGUAAUGGCUCACCUAGGCGACGAUCCCUAGCUGGUCUGAGAGGAUGACCAGCCACACUGGAACUGAGACACGGUCCAGACUCCUACGGGAGGCAGCAGUGGGGAAUAUUGCACAAUGGGCGCAAGCCUGAUGCAGCCAUGCCGCGUGUAUGAAGAAGGCCUUCGGGUUGUAAAGUACUUUCAGCGGGGAGGAAGGCGAUGGAGUUAAUAGCUUCAUCGAUUGACGUUACCCGCAGAAGAAGCACCGGCUAACUCCGUGCCAGCAGCCGCGGUAAUACGGAGGGUGCAAGCGUUAAUCGGAAUUACUGGGCGUAAAGCGCACGCAGGCGGUCUGUCAAGUCGGAUGUGAAAUCCCCGGGCUUAACCUGGGAACUGCAUUCGAAACUGGCAGGCUAGAGUCUUGUAGAGGGGGGUAGAAUUUCCAGGUGUAGCGGUGAAAUGCGUAGAGAUCUGGAGGAAUACCGGUGGCGAAAGGCGGCCCCCUGGACAAAGACUGACGCUCAGGUGCGAAAGCGUGGGGAGCAAACAGGAUUAGAUACCCUGGUAGUCCACGCCGUAAACGAUGUCGACUUGGAGGUUGUGCCCUUGAGGCGUGGCUUCCGGAGCUAACGCGUUAAGUCGACCGCCUGGGGAGUACGGCCGCAAGGUUAAAACUCAAAUGAAUUGACGGGGGCCCGCACAAGCGGUGGAGCAUGUGGUUUAAUUCGAUGCAACGCGAAGAACCUUACCUACUCUUGACAUCCAGCGAAUUCGGUAGAGAUACCUUAGUGCCUUCGGGAACGCUGAGACAGGUGCUGCAUGGCUGUCGUCAGCUCGUGUUGUGAAAUGUUGGGUUAAGUCCCGCAACGAGCGCAACCCUUAUCCUUUGUUGCCAGCGGUCCGGCCGGGAACUCAAAGGAGACUGCCAGUGAUAAACUGGAGGAAGGUGGGGAUGACGUCAAGUCAUCAUGGCCCUUACGAGUAGGGCUACACACGUGCUACAAUGGCGCAUACAAAGAGAAGCGACCUCGCGAGAGCAAGCGGACCUCAUAAAGUGCGUCGUAGUCCGGAUUGGAGUCUGCAACUCGACUCCAUGAAGUCGGAAUCGCUAGUAAUCGUAGAUCAGAAUGCUACGGUGAAUACGUUCCCGGGCCUUGUACUCACCG